GAGCUCAAAUUUGAAAUCUGGUAGCCUUCGGUUGCCCGAGUUGUAAUCUAGAGAAGUGUUUUCCGCGUUGGCCCAUGUACAAGUCCCUUGGAACAGGGCGUCAUAGAGGGUGAGAAUCCCGUCCUUGACAUGGACCCCCAAUGCUUUGUGAUACACUUUCAACGAGUCGAGUUGUUUGGGAAUGCAGCUCAAAAUGGGUGGUGAAUUCCAUCUAAAGCUAAAUAUUGGCGAGAGACCGAUAGCGAACAAGUACCGUGAGGGAAAGAUGAAAAGCACUUUGGAAAGAGAGUUAAACAGUACGUGAAAUUGUUGAAAGGGAAACGAUUGAAGUCAGUCAUGCUCUUUGGAUUAAGCCGUUCUGCGGUGUAUUUCAUUGAGCGGGGUCAACAUCAGUUUUGAUCGCUGGAAAAGGGCAGGAGGAAGGUAGCACUCUCGGGUGAACUUAUAGCCUCUUGUCGUAUACAGUGAUUGGGACUGAGGAACGCAGCAUGCCUUUUGGCCGGGAUUCGUCCACGUACAUGCUUAGGAUGUUGACAUAAUGGCUUUAAACGACCCGUCUU
rnacentral:rRNA from 2 species